GACGAACGCUGGCGGCGUGCUUAACACAUGCAAGUCGAACGGAAAGGCCCUGCUUUUGGGGGGUGCUCGAGUGGCGAACGGGUGAGUAACACGUGAGUAACCUGCCCUUGACUUUGGGAUAACUUCAGGAAACUGUGUCUCAUACCGGAUAGGAUCUCCUGCUGCAUGGUGGGGGUUGGAAAGUUUCGGCGGUUGGGGAUGGACUCGCGGCUUAUCAGCUUGUUGGUGGGGUAGUGGCUUACCAAGGCGUUGACGGGUAGCCGGCCUGAGAGGGUGACCGGCCACACUGGGACUGAGAUACGGCCCAGACUCCUACGGGAGGCAGCAGUGGGGAAUAUUGCACAAUGGGCGGAAGCCUGAUGCAGCAACGCCGCGUGCGGGAUGACGGCCUUCGGGUUGUAAACCGCUUUCGCCUGUGACGAAGCGUGAGUGACGGUAAUGGGUAAAGAAGCACCGGCUAACUACGUG
rnacentral:rRNA from 1 species